UGCACACUGAGACUGGACCCUUCCCUUUGCCCCACUCGGAGGAGCAGCCCAGGCGGACAAGGCACCGGACAGAGAACGGGCCUCUGUGGGCAGGUGCUGAGGACCCACGGGCAGCCAGCAGGUGGCUAAGAUCACUGCCUCCUUCGCCGGCUUUCUGGACCAGGGCCACCCGGCCCCCCAGUCCCAGCUCCUUCGGGCCUGGGAUGGGGAAAGGAGGCAGGGCAGAGCCCAGGACGAGGGAAGGCCGGUCCUGUCUGGACGCAAGGGGUCGGGCACCACCUCGUCUUCAGACCCUCGUAGGACAAGACGUCUACAGACACUGGCCCAUGAACGAUGGGGGCCGGAGGGGAGACAGGAUGCUAGGCUGGUGAGAGGGUCACCACGGCUUCGAGAUGCCUGGAUGUCCUGUUUAAUUUGCACCAGUGGGCAGGCCCCACAAUUACCACCCACCGGGCUCUGAGCUCCUUCCUCCGUCAGCUGGGGCACAGGGCUGGCCCCUACCUGCCCACCAGGCAGGCCCCAAGUGACCCUGCCUCCAGGAGACCUUCUGAGCCUGUACACCGGCCCCUGCCAAGGAGGAGGAGGUGGAAAGCAGCCGCUUGGGGAGGGAGCGACCUUGGGCUCACGUGUGAGGCUGCACAUCCAGUCGUCCUACUUCCUGUUCCCAUGACCUCAUUGUGAGAAGACCCCACCCAGCCCCUCUGGCUACAGCGCUGGCCCCAGACCCCAGAUGAUCACAAGAGGGCUGCCCGGGGAGAUCGCCAGGAGGCAGAAUAAAGAAUGGAAGGCUGCUGCUGGGGGUGGGGUCUGAGUUGGGAGUCUCUCCCGGGCUUCUCCCUCGCCUGGCUACUGAAACCUCCCCACAAACAAGGCAGGGAAACUGAGGACAAAUCCCCACCCAUACUUCAAGAUCCAACAGCCCCACGCUGCAUACAGCUCAGCAACACCCCCGAUCCUUCUGGCCCGCUCAGCCCGAACCUGCAGAGGCUCCUCAGUCCCCUCCCUGUCUGCCUAGCUCAGAGUCUGAAUCCUGCGAAGGUCCAUCCACACAGUGGGAUAGGGUUCAGCCAUGAAAAAGAGGGUGAAAUUCUGGCACCCGCUAAGACGUGGAGGAACCUUGAGAAGCUUGUGCCGAGUGCAGAAAGGCAGACAUAAAAGGUCCUACGUUGUGUAAAAUUUCAUUUAUGUGAAAUACCCAGAAUGGGUAAACCCACAGAAACAGAAUAGAGACUGGUGGCUGCCAGGGGCGGGGGAUGGGGUAGGGAAAAGUUUCUCACAGGCCACGGUUGCACAACAUUGCGAAGGCACUAAACGCCAAUGCUCACUUUAAAACGGUAAUUUUAGGGGCGCCUGGGUGGCUCAGUGGGUUAACUGUCCAACUCUUGAUCUCGGCUCAGGUCAUGAUCUCACGGUUCGUGGGUUCG